rnacentral:rRNA from 1 species
GACGAACGCUGGCGGCGUGCUUAACACAUGCAAGUCGAGCGGUAAGGCCCUUUCGGGGUACGACGAGCGGCGAACGGGUGAGUAACACGUGGGUGACCUGCCCUCAGCUCUGGGAUAAGCCUGGGAAACCGGGUCUAAUACUGGAUAUGACUCCAUGACGCAUGUUGUGGGGUGGAAAGCCUUGUGCGGCUGAGGAUGGGCCCGCGGCCUAUCAGCUUGUUGGUGGGGUGAGGCCUACCAAGGCGACGACGGGUAGCCGGCCUGAGAGGGCGACCGGCCACACUGGGACUGAGACACGGCCCAGACUCCUACGGGAGGCAGCAGUGGGGAAGUCUUGCGCAAUGGGCGAAAGCCUGACGCAGCGACGCCGCGUGA